CUCACUGGAAGUUGGAUUACAGAGCAAUGGACAGUUAAAAAGAAGGAUGAAUAAAGGAAAAAGUUUCCGCUGGAGUGAAGGUAAUUCACACUUUCGAAUUUUGAAGAAAGUGGGUCUCUUUACAAUCUCCCUUGAGAUCCGUACAGUUUUCCCCAAAUGUUAAGAUGAUUGAAUUCAGAAUAAAACUGAAAAGAAAGUGUCACACUGGCGUUGUUCCUUGAAGCUAAAUUUUAUAAGAUAUAUGAAGAUGGCAGCAAGUUUUACUUUUACUUAAGACCUGAAGCUGUAAAUAAUGCUGUAAAGAUAAUUUUAGUUUAUGCAUACUAGCUCAUACUGAAGAAAAUUUGGUUUUUAUCAUUUGAAAUUGCUGCAGAAACAAAGUCACUUAAGAAUGAAUAAAUGGCAU